CGGGCCACUAGCCAGUCCACUGGGGACAUCCCUCAGAGAGGGGAGGGGAGGGAGAGACAGGGCGGACACCCAGGCUGGCACACUGUGGCCAGCCACCCGGCUCCACUGACUGGCGGUUUCGUGUCUGGCUCCCUGAGGUCCAGAUGGUCCCAACACGUCCCUGGGGGGUAAGCAGACUCCUGCCCAAACUUGAACUCACAGCUCCAGCCCCCAGAGGCUCCGAGCCAGGACCCCAAAGGAGGGAGAGCUGGCCCCAUGGACUGCCUCACCCUGGCUCUCCUGCCCUGUGGCUUCUGGUUGAAUUCAGCCAAUGGGAGGCACCAGCAGAUAAUCUGAAGAUGGGAGGAGAGAGAGGCACCUCCAGCAACCUUGCUAGACCACAGUGCGGUGGGAGGAAGUCCCAUGAAGAAAUAAAGAACAUGUGGUGAAUCACAGAGAAGUGGCUGAAAAGAUUCAAGCCUCAACCUUGGUCCUCCCUAGUCACAUGACCACAGGCAAACCUCUUCUCUCUCAGCCUCAGUUUUUGCAUCAGUGCAAUAGGAAUGGUAUCUGCCAUGCUAACCUCACAGGACUGCUGUGUGUUCAGAUGAAUCAGGUAUGUGAAAGACACUUCUGCAAGCGGGAAAGAGGUGUGCAAAGGCAAUUUGCUUUUACAGAACUUAUAUUACUGUCAUUUCCCAUCGUUAUUUUAAUGCUCAAAAGGUUUGGGAGACAUUUCUGUAACUGAGGUGUUCAUGGUAAGCCCACACUCACUCCUGCUUGGAAAAGGUUUUACAUAGACUGAGGAGACCUGAGGCAGUUGCUGAGCUGCUUAGAACAGAGUCUCUGGGUCACAGCCAUCCCAUUACUGGGCAUAUCCCCAAAGGAUUGUAAAUCAUGCUGCUAUAAAGACACAUGCACACGUAUGUUUAUUGCAGCACUAUUCACAACAGCAAAGACUUGGAACCAACCCAAAUGUCCAUCAAUGAUAGACUGGAUUAAGAAAAUGUGGCACAUAUACACCAUGGAAUACUAUGCAGCCAUAAAAAAGGAUGAAUUCAUGUCCUUUGUAGGGACAUGGAUGAAGCUGGAAACCAUCAUUCUGAGCAAACUAUCGCAAGGACAGAAAACCAAACACUGCAUGCUCUCACUCAUGGGUGGGAAUUGAACAAUGAGAACACAUGGACA
rnacentral:lncRNA from 1 species